AACUAAUUAACCCUCGCACACUGCACGACUUUUAAAGUGUAAUACUAGUGUAGAGACCCGCGCGAUGCAGCGGGUAGAUAAUAAAAGCAAAAUUUAAAAAUUGUAAUAAAACUUAUAUUUACAGUUUAUUGAUAUAUAGAAAGUUAUACCAUAUUAAAUACAUCCAAUUUGCAUGACUAAGUUCACAUGGUGAGUAGGGGCCCCGCAAGGACCGGCUCAGCAGACACUUAUAUGGGCCGUGGCUUGGCUUCGCGGAAUGAUACUUCUCGAAGGAGACAAUGUUCUUUAGAGGCUCCUUUUUUUCUUCUUCUUCAUUAUCUUCGUUAAGAUAAUGAGAGAAAGAGGGAGAUGAGUGUGGAGUGGGAGAUUAGAAGAUAAUAUAUUUUUUUAUGAUGCAUAAAAAAAAAUUACAAAAGAGACGGGUGGGAGAUUAAUGGAAAAGAGUUACAAAAGAGAUAGGGUGAGAGAUUAAUGGAGGAGGGGAGUGAAUUAAAGUUAUAAAGCUCACUCAUUGAUGGAAUAUUAAUAUGAUGCAUAUAAUUAAAUAUUGCACCUUACAUGUAAUUAGAUGAGUGGGGAUGUGAAGGGUUGGGCGGUGAGAAGAGGAGAAGGCGAUUUGAUUUAAAGUUUGAUUUAAAGUUGCAUGUAAAUGUAAUUAGAGGAGUGAGAAGGUGAAAGGUUGGGUGUUGAGAAGAUGAGAAAGUGGUUUGAUUUAAAGUUGGGUUAUGAGAAUAAAAGAUAACAUGCCACGUGGUAAAAAAUAUUGUGGCUUCAUAUAGGUUUAUAGAUAAAUUGUUUUUUUUUUUUUUUUUGAGAAAUAGAUAGCACGCUACCCGCUUUGUUUAUUUCAUUUAGAAAUAAAUUUAGCUGGAAAUGUGAAUCAACCAGGAUUCAAAUUUGGAUCUCGGAUACCAACGACCAAGCCCUUUGUCACUUGCUCUAAGGAUAGUCGGUAUAAUAUAAAUUGUUCUCUCAU
rnacentral:lncRNA from 1 species